CACCUUCUGAGGGAGCAGACAUGCACACACGUGAAUGAUGGCUGGUGCCAGCUUGCUUUCGGCAGCCAGUGGGAUCUGCUUCAAGUGGCUAGAGGGAUCAAUUCAGCUGCUGCUUUUUCUUGCCAGGCUCUGAUAGAUGGACAGCUGAGGAGAAGGAGGCCUUCCAAAAGGCUUUCCACACCUACGGCAAGGAUUUCCAUCUCAUCCAGAAGCAGAUCCCGAGUAAGACCGUGGCACAGUGUGUGGAGUACUACUACUGCUGGAAAAAAGAGCAGAAACUUGCCAGCAGCACUCUUGCUCAGACUGCGGGCAAACGGAAGAGGAGGAAAAGCCCUCCCAGGAAGGAGACAGGGGAGACCGGGAAGAGAAGCCGCAAGCGGGCUGGCAGCGCGGAGUGUCCCUGCUGCCAACCGCGCCAGCCGCCCCA